CGUUUUCUUCUUUUUCUUUUUUUUUUUUUAAAUAUUUGGCCUUAACUCCUUUUUUUUCCAAUGAUGAUUCAAGACUCCAUUGUGACCUUUUUCUGACGACUAUUCACUUUUCUAAUCAUCAUCGUCAUCUUGAUUUGUCUUCUUGGUCAGACUUGCUGCUUUGAUACCAUUUGAUAGAAACCUAGCUCUUAUUUAACUAAAACAAAAAAUAAAAAUUGAAAAAAAAACACAAAAACCCAAAAAAAAACUAUUCCAUUAAUCGGAGGGUUAUAAAGAUAAUCCAAACAAUUUAAGGACCAGGGCCUUCCAUUUUCUGGUCGUUCAAGGUGUCAGAGACUUCCCACAAUCAGUCAAGGUUGGCUACCCAAAUAACAAAACCCUAAUAUUUUUUCUCCCCCUCUUUUGAAACUUAAAUACCCUUUUUAUAAUAUAACUAUCUUAAACUACCUUUUGGAUUGAGGACAAAUGUCUCAUUCCUAACAUAAUACAUCUAAUUUCAUGGUAUCAGAGCAGGUCAUUCAUGCUAGCAAGAAACCUUGAACAAAAAAAAAAUCUUCGUUCUUCUCCAUUCUUAUCCUUCAUUAAUUUCUGUUUGUUGUCAUCAUAUUCGACACUAGCCAGUCUUCUUUAAUGGAGGAGUCAUCUAGCGUUUCUUCGAGACCCAUUAGUAGCAUUGCCCUUUCUCUUCAGUAGAGAUCAAUCACUCAUUGCAAAUUACCCAACACAAAUUAAAUAGGUCAAAUUUUUAGCAAUCGUUUCAAUCUAUGCUGUUGGUUAUAUGAGAGAUAGGAAAGAUAGGUUAUCUCAUUGAAGAAGUCUUUGCUUCAACAAACUGUGAUGCAAAUUUCAAAACUUGGGAAGUAGAAAAUUUCAUCAUCAUGGCAUGGUUAGUCAACUCCAUGGAGCCAUAGAUCAGACACAUGUAUUUGUUCUACAAAAUGGCACACAAGAUAUGAAAGGUUGUCUAGGAGAUGCAUUUGGAUCUCAAAAACACAUUUUAGUGUUUUGAAAUUCGAUCUACCAUUCAAAAUACGAGACAAGGAACAGAAUCUGUCAUAGAGUACUACAAUAGAUUGAAUAAACUUUGGCAAGAGAUUGAUUUAAUUUACACAAUUCCAUGGAAGUGUCUAGAUGAUGGAGUACUCUACCAUUAAGUACUUGAGAAAGACUAAGUCUUUGAUUUUCUUAAAGGACUAAACAAAGACUUUGGUAAAGUUAAAGGUCGUAUUCUAAAAAAAAAAACCCUUAUUGUCACUACUAGAAGCCUUUGUAGAAGUUAGACAAGAGGAAAAUAGGAAAAAAGUGAUGUUGUAUAUCUCUACAAAUGCAAUCCCAAAAGAACAACUACAAAGUUUGACUUACUCGUUCCAAUUCUCAAAAUUCUCAAAGUCAGAAGCCAAAGGAAAAUCGAUCGUGGUGUGAACAUUGCAAAAAACCGUAUCAUACCAAGGAGACUUGUUGGGACAUACAUGACAAACCUCUAAAUUGGAAACCAUGGAGUCAAAGAAAAAACAACCCAACUGCAUAUGUGGCUGAAGCUAUUGCCAAGACCAAGAAACUAAGCAUUCCCGCGUUCACCCCCGAGCAAAUGGAGAUUUCGAGGACUCUCUUAAACUCGCCAAGGAUCUCUGAACCUUCAACCUUUGUCUACUGUUGUUAUUACUCAGCGAGGACCCAUCUUCAGAGGAAGAUGAUUGGGAAUGCUGAAGAACAACAUGGUCUUUACUAUCUCAUCGGUUCUCUUCCAACAUUGAUGACAUCUACAUCACUUUCUUUGUAUAUUUUGUUUUCUUUGUCUAUUUCGUCUAAUUCUGAUGUGAUCAUUUGACAUAACAUUUUGGUCAUCUUAGUUUUUAUUAUUUAAAGCAUUUGUACCUAGUGUUAUUCAUCAAUAAAGAUCUUUCUUUGUUUCA